ensembl:lncRNA
CUGUUUUUUCCUGGAAACGCCUAAGUUGUUUGCCAAGCCCUUCGACCAGGCCCGUGGAGCUCCUGGGAGGCUCAGCACCCAGAUUUGAGCCCCUGGCUUUCCCGCUGUGGGUGGAGAGUGUGGAAGUGACCCCGGCUCUGUGCUCCCACACUGACCACACGUCAACUGGAAGACCCCUUUGGAAAGGAAAAGGAGCCCAACCAACGGUUCCCAGAGAGUGUGAACUUAGUGCAUGAAGCUAGCGCGUCCAGGGCUCCAGCAGGCGGACUGUCGUGGAUGCUGUGGUGAGCUGCCAAGAUCCUGCUUCAGGACAGGGGCUCUCGACUUCUCAGACUCGUGGAGUGUUGGCUAUGUCAUUCUGUUCUGGACAUUACCCUCAGCCUCAGGAAGCUUCUUUGGCCAAGCUUAAACACCCUCAACCUGCUUCAAUUUGGCUGGAAAAAGGCACCUGGCUGGAAAGGAACACAGCCCACUUAUGUGCAGAACUCAGAGGGCUGAGGCU